UCCGUAGGCGGACUAAUAAGUCAGGGGCGAAAUACCACAGCUCAACUGUGGAACUGCCUUUGAUACUGUUAGUCUUGAAUUAUAUGGAAGUAGAUAGAAUGUGUAGUGUAGCGGUGAAAUGCUUAGAGAUUACACAGAAUACCGAUUGCGAAGGCAGUCUACUACGUAUAUAUUGACGCUAAUGGACGAAAGCGUGGGGAGCGAACAGGAUUAGAUACCCUGGUAGUCC
rnacentral:rRNA from 1 species